GACGAACGCUGGCGGCGUGCUUAACACAUGCAAGUCGAACGAGAGCGUAGAGAAAGCUUGCUUUUUCUACAAUCUAGUGGCAAACGGGUGAGUAACGCGUAAACAACCUGCCCUACGGAUGGGGACAACAGCUGGAAACGGCUGCUAAUACCGAAUACGUUCCGAAAGUCGCAUGACUAUCGGAAGAAUGGAUGGCCUCUAUUUAUAAGCUAUCGCCGGAGGAGGGGUUUGCGUCUGAUUAGCUAGGUGGAGGGGUAACGGCCCACCAAGGCGACGAUCAGUAGCCGGUCGGGGAGGAGGAACGGCGACCUUGGAGCUGAGACGCGGUCCAGACGCCUACGGGAGGCAGCAGUGGGGAAUCUUCCGCAAUGGGCGAAAGCCUGACGGAGCAACGCCGCGUGAGUGAAGACGGCCUUCGGGUUGUAAAGCUCUGUUAUACGGGACGAAUAAUCUUGUGGUUAAUACCCAUGAGAAGUGACGGUACCGAAAGAGAAAGCCACGGCUAACUACGUG
rnacentral:rRNA from 1 species